rnacentral:lncRNA from 10 species
AGACGUGAGCCACUGCGCCCUGCCAGCUUUGAGUCUUCUUUUCAUUUGUGGCACUUAGGGACUUUCAUUUAUUGCUUUAAAUGUGGUUGUAUACUGUUCAAUUGUUAUUUUUAUAUAUUUUUACUGUAUCAUAUAUAAUUGCUGUAAAGUUUAUAUUUCUAGAGGGUGAUGUCAUAUCACAUCAAUUCAGCCUGCCACAUCGCCUGAAAUCUCAUAUUUUUGUGUAUCGAUCCAGUCCAUCUCUCCCACUACAUUAUAAUUCUUUUAAGGUUUUAAGGACGAAGUAUUUUCUAUUCUUUUUUUUUUUUUUUUUUGAGAUGGAGUCUCGCUCUGUUGCCCAGGCUGGAGUGCAGUGGCACGAUAUCGGCUCACUGCAAGCUCCGCCUACUGGGUUCACGCCAUUCUCCUGCCUCAGCCUCCCGAGUAGCUGGGACUACAGGCGCC